CGUCGACUGCGCGCUCCCGCACUACUGCAGUUUAAGAAGCUUGGCCCUUCCCGGCUACCCUCCUGCUGUAUGUGUGAAAGCUAACAGCUUUUGGUUAGGGCUACCUUCCUAGUGUGAGGAAACGGCUUGCUGAAUACGUUUGAGAGAGCUUUUUAGUUUCCUCAGACCGUCAGAUAUCUGAGGCCGAGAAGGAACGUUUUGUUCUUAGGGGAUAAUGGACUGAAUUCAAAGUUAUACUUGCAAUGGGAUGUUUAGUUUGAGCUAUUCCCCCAGGAAGUGUGAUUUUUUUUUUUAAACCUGAUUGUCUCGAAUACUACUCUGGGUUGCGAUGCAGUUCGUGACAGUCGCGUUUAGAUUUAUCCCUGCCUUAGGCUACUCCCAGUGAUGCUCUGCUCUGACUAACCACCGCGGAGUACUGUGUAUCCUUCGCCUCAGCGCCCCGGCACGACGCGGUUGCUGGCUGGAAGCAUUGUGUAGGGUACCUUGUUUCAGUCUUGGCGGAGGAGGAGCCAGAGGAGUAACUAGUGUUUUCAGCCUUAAAUCCCUUCCAGCUCCAAUCCUGCAUCUUCUGUUCAUGGACUCCGCCCCCCUCCCCCACCAAGUCAGCAUUUAGGACAGGAGAGUUUAUUUUUUGCCUCAUCCAAGAAAAUUCUCAACAUCCUAGAGUCAUGUAUCGCAUUUGUCCGUUAAAACUGGACUGAAAUGGUUGUAAUGGAUUAAUUUUUUUAAAGUGACUUUUGCGAUUCCCUCUUCUAAAUCUUGUAUCCACUAAGUCUUGUGCUCACCGAAUAUUCAGAAUCUAAAAUAUAAGUUUAAAACAUCAAAUGAAUGCAAGUAAGGAAAAUAAACCAGUUGGGGGUGGGAGGUGGGAAGCAAAUCAUAGAUCAAAUGAAGUUUCUGUCUGUGCAGCAUAAUGAGAAAAUGGCUGGACAUGGAUUUGCACCAAAUUUAUGGGAAAAACCAGACUUAAAAUAUAUGUUUAGUGUCGUCUAUAAAAUGCAUUUUGUGGGAUAGAGAGACUUUGAAAAGACAGGCAUUCAUACUUCAAAGUAUCUGAAAUAGAGGUAUGAAAGAUUUCUGUUCCUGAUGAUGGAGAUAGCCAUGGCUCACACAUUCAGCCAAAACAGGAACCUUGAAAUAUUAACGGGAGACCCUCAGAAUUACAGACUUUAAUUUUUUAAUUAGCCACUUCUCAUGUGAGAAAUGACUAGGAUCUAGCAUGCUCCAGGGUGAACAGCAACAGGAAUUUACAUAAAGGUGACUAAUAAUUUUCCAAGGAAAGCUGGAUAACAGUUUGUGGAUAAAAAGUGCAAUGAGAAGGCAUACAGGCCAAGGGACAAUGUUCAUCUGUCCAAUGGGACAUCAACAUGCUGCCCUGGAUGGACCCUCUAAGUUUGUGUCUGCCAGGUGACGAGCAGACGAGCUUCUUAUCGUCACAGCCAGGCACCUGGGAUAACCUGCCCUAAAUCUGUAACUCCUGGGAACACAUACAGGCUUACUUAGGGUCCAGAAGACAGACAUAGGAGGAGAAGACUGGAAUCCUCAUGUUGUGUGGGAGUUGCUGCCAAGAGAUCUGGGUCUGCUUAGCCUGGAAGAAUAUUCCUAGGACAAUGAGAAGGAGGGGAUACAAGUCCUGACUGAGAUGCCAAGUUCUCUGGAUUCCUUCUGGUCCCUGAUGUGGAGCAUCCAGUUGAUUUUGCUCUUUGGACUGGAAACUGUUGAGCUGCACCAUGUGACAUGCGGGAUCUUAG